GCUCGGGAAACCCGUUCUUCUUUGUACGUGAUUUUAGUUACUGUUGUAUAAUUUAACAAGAUAGUUACACGUGCAGAAAGAAACUAGAUACAUCCCCAGAAUUUUCAUAAGAUUCAAGGAUAAAAUACAAGUGACAUUAAAUCUUAAGCGGAUGCUGAAGUGUUUCUUCGUUUGACACCAGCUCGACAAGUGGGCGAUCUACCUGCUAGCACGGGACCGCAGUAAGGUGAAGGUGAGCCGACAUCUAUGACAUUCACAAUUGCUCUGUAGCAAGCCAAGGUGACACAAAUACAACGUUCAAAGACAGAACAGUGAAAAGAUGGUUAGAUACUGCAGCCACGAGCAUCAAUGAAGCUUACGUUGCCAACGCUACAGAUAGUGGACCCAGCAUAAAGACGUAUUACAUCACAGCGUUAUAUUUUACGUUUACGUCACUGACGUCAAUAGGAUUCGGAAACGUGUCACCAAAUACUAGUGGAAUUGACAUGCCGGUAAAGAUGAUAUAUUUGGUGGUGACUGCAGUGACGUUGAAUGCUCGGGAAAAUCGUUCUAUUUUGUACGUGCCCUUAGUUACUGUGAUAUUAACAAGAUAGAGUUACACGUGCUGAAAGAAACAAUGGAUAUAUAACCAGAAUUUUCAAAAAGAAUUAAUUGGUAAAAUACAAGUGGCAUUCAAUCUUAAGGUAAGUAUAAAGUAAUAUAAUCCAUCCUAGCAAUGAAAAAGUCUCAAUUUCAAAAUUGUUCCGAACUUUCAGAAAAAGUUUUACAAUCUUUGUUUUACAUUCUAAAAUAAAUAAGGUAUCACAGAUGUAACAAACGCACCAGGACUACCAUCUUUAUCUCUAUCAUAGAUAUUUUGUUUAAAAGAUAUUUUUGGAGCUGCUUUGAUAUAUUGCACUUGACCUUUUCUAGACAAUUUCUGACAACUAUUUCACACGAUAAGGUCAUUGACGUAUAAAGGUGAGACUAUGCCGAAUGAACAUAUACUCGCGUUUUAGUUGAUUAAGAGACAACGAGUGCUUCGCCUAAUUACAUUAGCAUUUUCGACUUGAUUUAUUAAAAACCAUGAGAUACUUUUCAUUCACUCAAGAUGCUAAAUUGUGAUCUCUUUUGACAAAAGCUCGACGAAUGGGACCACAGAUCGGAGAAGAUGAGCCGACGUCUAGGGCAUACGAAUUUUCUCCGCUAUCAGCAAGUAGUGGUAUAGAUACGGCGUUCAAAGACAGAUCAGUCAAGACGAACAGUUGACGGAUGUUUCAUUUCUUCAUCAAAUUCCAGCCAGUACGUCAAAGCUACAGUGUGUUUUCGUGUAUCUAUAAGGUCAUUCUUAGAAACAUCAGACAGUUGAGCGCCCUCUAGUAGUCGGCGCAUUUCCAGCUUUGAGCGCCCUCUGAAUGUCGGCGCAUUUCCGGGAAGCUGGUGAUACAGCGCCAUCUGGAAAAAAAUGAGACAGACGUCGCUGUCUAACCUCGAGGAAAUCGACUGCAAGUGAAACUAUUUAGCAAAGUAUACGAAUAUAACAUGGAUUUUUAAGAUCUUCCUUGUUGAAGAGAUUUCAUGUAACAUGGUGCUGCCUUCCAGCCGCAUUGAAAUUAUAAAAAUGAGAUUAGUAUUUUGUAUUUUCACAUCCUAAAUGAAAUUCAGCAGCGUUAAAGACACGCCGCAAAAUAACUGUCUUCUUUUUUAUUUCAGUGAUGGUAAUCAUACGUAAUUUGCAUGAAAAAUAUUAGACAUACAAAAAUUUAGUUUCAAAUUGACAGUGCCAUAUAUUAAGCCAAGACAAUAUGUUAAAUGUCUUAAUAUUUUAUUGUAUUAAUGUAGCAAUAUGUUCAUAAG
rnacentral:lncRNA from 1 species